UUCCCUUGGUGAUUCAUAAUAACUUCUCGAAUCGCAUGGGCAGGCGAUGCUUCAUUCAAAUAUCUGCCCUAUCAACUUUCGAUGGUAGGAUAGAAGGCCUACCAUGGUUUCAACGGGUAACGGGGAAUAAGGGUUCGAUUCCGGAGAGGGAGCCUGAGAAACGGCUACCACAUCCAAGGAAGGCAGCAGGCGCCGCAAAUUACCCAAUCCCGACACGGGGAGGUAGUGACAAUAAAUAACAAUAUAGGGCUCUUUUGGGUCUUAUAAUUGGAAUGAGUACAAUUUAAAUCCCUCAACGAGGAACAAUUGGAGGGCAAGUCUGGUGCCAGCAGCCGCGGUAAUUCCAGCUCCAAUAGCGUAUAUUAAAGUUGUUGCAGUUAAAAAGCUCGUAGUUGAACUUCAGACCUGGCUGGGCGGUCCGCUUAACGGCGUGUACUGUCUGGCCUGGGCCUUACCUCUUGGUGAGCCGGCGUGCCCUUUAUUGGUGUGCG
rnacentral:rRNA from 1 species